GAUGAACGCUGGCGGCGUGCCUAAUACAUGCAAGUCGAACGAAGGUAGCAAUACCUUAGUGGCGAACGGGUGAGUAACACGUAGGUAACCUGCCUUUCAGUUGGGGAUAACCGAGGGAAACUUUGGCUAAUACCGAAUUCGUGCUUCGAAGGCAUCUUCGGAGCAUAAAAGGGGCCUUUAAAGCCUCGCUGAUUGAUGGACCUGCGGCGCAUUAGUUAGUUGGUGAGAUAACAGCCCACCAAGACGAGGAUGCGUAGCCGACCUGAGAGGGUGAUCGGCCACACUGGAACUGAGACACGGUCCAGACUCCUACGGGAGGCAGCAGUAGGGAGUUUUCGGCAAUGGGGGAAACCCUGACCGAGCAACGCCGCGUGAGUGAUGAAGGUCUUCGGAUUGUAAAGCUCUGUUAUAAGGGAAGAACGGCAGCUAGAGGAAAUGCUAGCUGUUUGACGGUACUUUAUGAGAAAGCCACGGCUAACUACGUGCCAGCAGCCGCGGUAAAACGU
rnacentral:rRNA from 1 species